GAUGAACGCUGGCGGCGUGCCUAAUACAUGCAAGUCGAGCGAACAGACGAGGAGCUUGCUCCUCUGACGUUAGUGGCGGACGGGUGAGUAACACGUGGAUAACCUACCUAUAAGACUGGGAUAACUUCGGGAAACCGGAGCUAAUACCGGAUAAUAUAUUGAACCGCAUGGUUCAAUAGUGAAAGACGGUUUUGCUGUCACUUAUAGAUGGAUCCGCGCCGCAUUAGCUAGUUGGUAAGGUAACGGCUUACCAAGGCAACGAUGCGUAGCCGACCUGAGAGGGUGAUCGGCCACACUGGAACUGAGACACGGUCCAGACUCCUACGGGAGGCAGCAGUAGGGAAUCUUCCGCGAUGGGCGAAAGCCUGACGGAGCAACGCCGCGUGAGUGAUGAAGGUCUUCGGAUCGUAAAACUCUGUUAUUAGGGAAGAACAAAUGUGUAAGUAACUAUGCACGUCUUGACGGUACCUAAUCAGAAAGCCACGGCUAACUACGUG
rnacentral:rRNA from 1 species